rnacentral:tRNA from 1 species
GCCCCCCUAGCUCAGGGGUAGAGCGCAGUCUUGGUAAGACUGAGGUCACGGGUUCGAAUCCCGUGGGGGGCU